rnacentral:rRNA from 1 species
CGAUUCUUGAAAACGGAUAUCUCAGCUCUCGCAUCGAUGAAGAAUGUAGCUAAAUGUGAUACUUUGUGUGAAUUACAAAUUCUCACAAACCAUCGAGUCUUUGAACGUAAGUUGCGCUCGAAGCCAUCAGGCCGAAGGCACGUCUACCUAGGUAUCAUGCAU